GCAUAUCAAUAAGCGGAGGAAAAGAAACUAACAAGGAUUCCCCUAGUAACUGCGAGUGAAGCGGGAAAAGCUCAAAUUUAAAAUCUGGCGGUCUUUGGCCGUCCGAGUUGUAAUCUAGAGAAGUGCUAUCCGCGCUGGACCGUGUACAAGUCUCCUGGAAUGGAGCGUCAUAGAGGGUGAGAAUCCCGUCUUUGACACGGACUACCAGGGCUUUGUGAUGUGCUCUCAAAGAGUCGAGUUGUUUGGGAAUGCAGCUCAAAAUGGGUGGUAAAUUCCAUCUAAAGCUAAAUAUUGGCGAGAGACCGAUAGCGAACAAGUACCGUGAGGGAAAGAUGAAAAGAACUUUGGAAAGAGAGUUAAACAGUACGUGAAAUUGCUGAAAGGGAAACGCUUGAAGUCAGUCGCGUUGGCCAGGGAUCAACCUUGCUUUUGCUGGGUGUACUUUCUGGUUGACGGGUCAGCAUCAAUUUUGAUCGUUGGAUAAAGUCUGUGGGAAUGUGGCUUCUUCGGAAGUGUUAUAGCCCAUGGUCGCAUACAACGGUUGGGAUUGAGGAACUCAGCACGCCGCAAGGCCGGGUACUUGUACCACGUUCGUGCUUAGGAUGCUGGCAUAAUGGCUUUAAUCGACCCGUCUUGAAACACGGACCAAGGAGUCUAACAUGCCUGCGAGUGUUUGGGUGGAAAACCCGAGCGCGUAAUGAAAGUGAAAGUUGAGAUCCCUGUCGUGGGGAGCAUCGACGCCCGGACCAGACCUUUUGUGACGGAUCCGCGGUAGAGCAUGUAUGUUGGGACCCGAAAGAUGGUGAACUAUGCCUGAAUAGGGUGAAGCCAGAGGAAACUCUGGUGGAGGCUCGUAGCGAUUCUGACGUGCAAAUCGAUCGUCAAAUUUGGGUAUAGGGGCGAAAGACUAAUCGAACCAUCUAGUAGCUGGUCCUGC
rnacentral:rRNA from 1 species